GUAACUUCCGGUGAAAAAGGUACAUAAACACUUAUCAACAACAAAGAAAAAAAUACAGGUUGGAUAGGAAGAACAUAUGAGAGUUUGGGGCCAAGGUCAAACCAACAGAGGUCACCAAGGUCAGCAUCAGAGAGACUUUACUUUGAUAGGGUUAAACAGUGGACACUUUGAUGGUGUUUUUAAUCCAACAAGCCUUAUAUAGGACCACCACCUGUUGAACUUCUCAUACACGAUUCAUUUAAUUCAAAAUUAAAUGCCUAACACCCAUUUGUGUAGGCCAUUUAAAACUGUAAUUGAGAAUGUAAGAUUUUAAUUUCCUCGGUACAUUUGACAUAAUUCCCUGUAAGACGAGAUUUCAAAAGGAAAUUAUUUGAUUUUAAUUAUUUUUUUCUUCCAACUGUAAGUUUAUAUUAGGACAUACAAUAUAUAAAUGAGAAAUAAUCGGGGUUGCCCACACACGGUGAACAUUUUUUGAUGUGUGUCUCCAGACUUGUGUUUUUAUGUCAUUCUAAAUAACAGCUGAAGCCGUGUUGUGUUGAGGCAAUUCUGAAAUCAAACCAAACUUCAUCAUUGAAAUCAGACGGGCAGACAUCAUGAUGAAACCAAGAUAUCCCCGUGCACGUAAAAGGAAACACAAUGACCUGUGUGGCAAGAACUUCCUAAAAUUUGUCAUCUACAUGUUCACCUUUCUGUUUCUGCUGUCUGGAGUGGCGUUCCUGGCCACCGGUCUGUAUAUCAGGCUGGAGAAUUUUACCUACGUUAGUUUGCUGGGUAGCAAUGCAUUCCCUGUAGCGACCUACCUCCUCAUUGCUACCGGAGCCUUCAUUCUGUUGUCUGGAAUUGUAGGAUGUACUGGAGCAUGUGUUGAAAACAGGUGUUGUCUAGUCCUGUACGCCGUGUUCCUGUUAUUUAUAUUCCUGAUAGAAGCUAUCUCGGGUGUACUAGCCUACAUGUAUGACGGCACAAUUCGGGAAGAGCUGACUAGAAGCCUUAACAAAAGUAUGAUGGAAAAGUACAACUUUGAUCCAGUUUUUACCCAGACUGUAGAUAAUAUGCAGAUAGAGUUUAAGUGUUGUGGAGCAGCGACGUUUGAGGACUGGAAGUAUUCCCGCUGGCUAAAGACUGACAAUGAGACACUCAACAAUGCACCAGAAAGCUGCUGUAAAUCUGUGGGAGUAAACUGUGCCAUCAGUACUCACCCCUCCAACAUCCAGUACGAUAGCUGCAGUUUACGUCUUGAACAGUACACAAAGUCUAAUUUGGUGUUGAUAGGGGGAAUAGGCCUCGGACUGUGUUGUAUACAGAUAUUUGGGAUUAUAUUCUCAUGUUGUUUGGUAAGAAAAAUCAAGGACAAUUUGAUAAAACACCACUACUGACCCCAACACCAUGACAGGAAGUGAUGGACUAUAAGGGGAGAUAAUUCUGUUACAACACAACAGUUACUGGAAUGACAGUCUCUACCUUCUAUGCUGAGGGAUUUGUACAUCAUGACAUUGUAGAUACAUCAUGCUUAACGACCUUUGGGCAUCCAGCCGGGAAAAUAUGCCAAGAAUGCUAGGAAGAGUUCAAAGUGUCUAACUGAAAUGCAUUUCUGGUACGAUUUUCAAGAUUACAUGUUGUAGACCUUUUAAUAAGCGUCUAGUUGAACAUUUUUAAUAAUAAAUCACAUAUUUUACACAGGGUAGUGUGCAGAAACCCCCUUUGUUCUGAUGAUAAGCCAUGAUCUGGACUGUUAAUGAUCGCCAUGUAUAUAAAACAGGUGAUAACUAAGAUAAUCAUCGGAAGAUUAUUUUGAGAUUACAAUCCAUUGGACCCUCUCUCUAUUUGAUGUCCCGUAAGUAAUACCAUUUUCCCAGUUAAUUUACAAAUACGUUUCUUUAUGAUGAAAUGAGAAAAUUUUCUCUCUUAGAGCUAUUUUAUGUGUUUACCCCAGGACUUAUUGAAGGAUAAAUUGUAUAUUUAUAAUUGUUUUUGAUCUUUAAUAAACACAAACAUGCAACAUGUGGAAUUUGUGGCUAAAAAAGGCUAUAACUGAAAACUAUCUGAUGGCACAUGUGCUUCAUCAUGUUUCAUUUUUGUGUCGAGGCAUUGACCUUUAAGCUUUUUCUUAAGACUUCAAAUUCCUUCAAAUACAAAAAUAAAGAAAGGGUCUGUGGAAUGGAUUCGGCCAGUUACCUCUAAGAUUUGUUUACUUAUUCAAUCAUUGUGUUAUUUUUGUUUACUACAGUACUAAAUAAUAUUUUAUACUUGUAUUACAUGUUAUUUAUGCUUGAUCUGUGAGAGGUGAUUAGCUAUGUUAAAUGAUCUUUAUUGAAGCUAUGAUCUGAAUUUAUAUCAUAACAUGUUUAACUCUUUCAACCCCAAGAAACUUUAGUGGACUUUGCUAUUUAUUCAUCAUUUGAAGUCCAAUAUGGUCAGUAGGGGUGAAAGGGUUAAUACUGUACAGUUGUGAUAAUCUACCAAACUUUUGGAUUUAUUGUGACAUGACAAGGGGAAUAGUUUUAAAUAUAGAAUCAACAUGUCUGACUAAAAUCCUGUCUGUAUGAAGAAUGAAUAUUUGUUGGUUAAUUGGAUUUUUUUUUGAGUUUUGACAGAAUUUUAUUUUAUUUUGAUAUCAUGACAUCAAAUUGUACAUUCCAUGAUAAAAAGCUUGAUUGUCCAUACAAUUGUGUGACUUACAUAUACAUGAAUAAUAGAAACUCUAAACAUAUAAUAAGAUAUUGUAUAACAGUCAUAACAUAAAACAUGUUCUGUGGAUAUCUUCCAGGUAUUUAGUUUUGUGGAUAUAUCAUAUACAACAAAUAGUAAUGUGACGUUUGACAUCUCACUGAUAAUCGCGCUUACUGGAGUGUUUCUCUAUGUUUACUGUAGUGUAACAUCGGCCAUGCAUGCAGUUAUUAGCCAUGUGACGCAAUAUUUUUGUUAGGAAAUGUAUAGUACUAUAGCCAUGUUGUGUGUCUCCAUCACUGCCUGUUUUACCACAUACAAUCACUUUACACUGAGUGUGAGUUACUUCCCUUUAUGGAAGGCAUUCUCAGUAAGUAUACCACUGAACACUGAACCAGGUCCCAAUCUAACAUCUUGUAUGCAACGAUGAGUCAAGCAUAAGAUUUUUUGGUGUUCCUUGCAUUUGAACUUUUAGAUGUGUUUAUAUUCCAAGUAAUCAUUCCAAGAAUUAUAUAGGAAUGGGUCAUUUACAUUUUUUAAUUGUCAUAGUUUCAUAAAAAUUAAAAUACUAGCACAGCAGAUAUAAGAAUAUAAGAACAAAUUGAUAGAGUCCAUCUUCCAGUAGACCUAAAAUUUAUAAUGCAUACAAAAUAUAAUGAUUGACAGUGCUAAAAAUAGAAUUGAAAUAAUUAGUUUCCUUAUUUGGACAUCAAGGUAUUAAUGUAGUUUUUGAACAAAACACUUGAUUACUUUGAUAAUUCUGUAUUAAACUAGUCUAGUCAAUGAAUGUAGUAUUUAUGUGUUUAGUGUGAUAUAUAAUCUCGUCAGAUUGUGUAGAGAUACACGGUUUAUGUUAUACUAUUUAAUAUACAACAGUGUACAUUAGAGUAGAAUGAUUCUUCAAUAUAUGUCUCUAAUGCAGAUCCAUUUGUACGGAAUCAUAUCACAUUUUCAUUUUUGUCACAACAACCAUAUUAAAGGCACAUGACAUUUUCUGCAUUAUUACUCGGAAUAUUUUUAAUAUUUAUAUGUUUUUUCACCCUGUAGUUCGAGACAUGUAAACAACUGAAGGAAUACAUUUCUGGACAAAACACCCCCACCCACACACCCACCCCCUGUAGUGAAUAUAUUUUCUGUUCAUACAAAUUUAGUCGACAAACUUUAUUUUUAAAACAGGGAAAACAACUUUUACAAGAAAAUGAUACUAAAGUCAGUAUACAGUAGAGGAGCUACCUUAGAUUUAUAUAACAGUUGUUAUUGUAGAUUAUUUUACAUUCUCUGAGCAGUUUUGUUAGCAAUGCAUGACAAUGCAUGUAUACAUCAUGAUGUGUUCUGUCCGAGUUGUGUACAUUGUAUUUGAUGGAUGUUUAAUACAUUGUAUUGGACGGAUGUUUAAUACAUUGUAUUGGACGGAUGUUUAAUACGUUGUAUACAUUGUAUUGGACGGAUGUUUAAUAAGUUCGAGUUGUGUACAUUGUAUUGGACGGAUGUUUAAUACGUUCUGAGUUGUGUACAUUGUAUUGGACGGAUGUUUAAUAAGUUCGAGUUGUGUACAUUGUAUUGGACGGA